GUCAUUAAACGUUGGGUAGUUAGUUAGCCUAUAGUUAAUAUACUGGCAAGUUUGAUGUAUAACUACUAACGUUAGGUAGCUAGCUAACAUACCGGUACAUACUGCUGUAAUGUAAUGCUAUGUGGUUCAUAAGGACAGAGUUGCUAACAAAUUGUCAGCCAACAUAACGUGUAAGGUAACUUAUUUGAAAAGUCCUUUAUUACACUGAGUAGCAAGCUACCCCUUGGUCGUUAGGGCAAAUCUGGUCUGUGAUGGGAGGGGUUUUCACACCGAGCUCGGCUAAUAGACUAAUCAAGGUUGAAUCGUCUAUUGUUCAGCUAUUAGCCCUCCUCACCAACUUGCAACAAAUUGCUGUUCCCAUCUCAUUCCUUUCCCUCCUCCACGCGUCAUCAUUCUGCUCCUGAAUGGCUCGCUAGUGGGCGUGCUGGCAGGAUAUGGCAGCAUCUUCGGUUGUGCGUCAAGAAUUCUGCAUACAGUAGCACGUUUUGUAUGAAGGUGUGGUUAUUUACAGGCAUGUUGUUGUAUUCUAUGGAGGUACAUUUGUCUCUUUUUGUCAAGGGCAACUUUUUUCGACAAAGGAAGUCAAAGCGGACACCUACGAAGAUGGCAUCUCAGAGAGCGAGCUGACCAAGGGGUCGAAAAUGUAGAUAUUGCCAGAUGUUCACUGUCCGAGGAACAGGCCGUGGAAGCUUUAUUGCUGGCAAAAGUGUCCAUAACCAGAGGUUAUAUCAGCGUUUUGGUGAACCCCUCCCGCAUCUGAACUGGCUGACACAGAGGGCACAGCAUGAUCAUAGGUAUGUUUCGAUGUGAGAGAGGUAUUCAGUCCCAUCAUCGUCACCUCACCUGCUCAUAAGAUAACCUUCGGGCCAACUGGGGGCCCAAGGCUGGUUAGGAGACACCGCAAUUGUGAUGAACUGAGAGAAUAUUAAGGGAGCACUGUAAUUCAUUAAUCAUAUGCUGUCUGCCUCUGUUCUUACCUCUUUCCCUUUCUGUCUUCUACACCUCUCUCCACCUCGUCUUUCUUACUCGUUUUAUAAUGCACACCAUAUGUGCAUUGAAGUACAGAUUGAACUUGUAUUUAUAAUAUUACAAUGAUCAUAAUUAAUAAUGCAUUUAUGUAUUUAUUACACCUGGAUAAUGAACUUCUUUCAAUAAAGCAUUUCACAUUCUCCACUGGUUGAAAUGAAGUAUCUCAUUGAAAUACUAUCCUGUGUCCUCAGAUGAAGGGAGUUAGAUAUGCAUAGUUUUUUUCCAUGAUUGAUUUGUAAUAUAUGAAUUACAAAUCAAUCAUGUUUCUAGUCUAUUGCAUAGUUACAAUGUGUAAUCAUUGAUGUCCCAGGAGUAGGAGUGGGAAACACUGUUGAAGUGUAUAAUUGCAAUGCAUGCAUGCAAACACGGCAUCAUUCAAAUAAUGGAGUUUGAUAUGACUGAAAAGGAAUGUCUCAGAUUCAUACCUGAAUCGCACCUUUAUUUGCCAAGGAAGAAUACAUGAUCAGUGAAUAUAUUCAAUGUACCAGUGACAAUGUGGGAGUCUCAUGCGUGGUAAUAACUACAGCACAUGUGUAUGUGUAUAUAGGACUUGUAUCCUUGGCACAAUAAAGUUAUUAUAUUCUACUCUAUCCAUAGGCUUCAUUAAUGCCAUUCUGACUUGAAGUUGAUACAACAACUAUAAUAGCUGAGGUUCAUAGGUUCUGAACUAAUAUUCAUAUCAAACAAUUUAGGGUCCAUACACAGAUAGGCUACAUAUUGUAGCUAGCUACACAUCCAUAGGCAUACAGUUAUUUUUAUCCUCCACUAUACAAUAAGCAAGUAAAUAGUUAGCUAGCUAUGUUACUUUAGCUGCAUUGCAAGACAAGCUUACACAAUUGUACAUUCAAUUUGCAGUAAAUGCUUUAGCUAGCUAGAUUCUUUACAUCCACUGUUUCACAAGAUGACUGGUUUGCUGGUUUUCCCCAAGAGUCCCUAAAACAUUAAACA